UGUGAAUAAUCUUUCUCCUUCUCUUUUUUAUUUCACCAUGGAUGAAAGCUAGGGCUGAGAAAAGAUAAACUUUCACGUUGUUUAUUUAAAUUUAAUGUGUAAAAUUUCUUCGCUAAAUCGCGCGGACUCGCAAUCUUUAACCAAUCAGAAUCGAGUAAAUUGACUAAAAUGAUAUUAGGAUGAAAAUGUAUGUAUCAGUGACAAGAGUACAGAGGCGUAGCCAGGAUUUUCGGUCAGAGGUGGCCGGCAAAAACCCAGGUGGGGCCAAGCCGCCAGUGGCUCGAGACGCAAAGUUCGCGCAAGAAAAAAUUUUGCGGACCACAGAACAUUUUAAAUCUCCCUCUCCCCCCCCCCCGUCGACAUCUUUUUCAGUAAAAAAUUUUUCUGGACAAUAACAUUACAAUUGCUUUCGUGGCACUUUUCCCGAUUUCCGUAUCACUUUUUCCGAUGCUUCACCACGAUGAUUCCGACUAACAUUAGAGAGUUUGAGCAAGAGAACGAAGUCGGACGACGACGACGUGGACCGUGGUUGACAAUUUUUGCCUGUCUUGCACAUUAAUUUACGCAUUCUGAGUUUAGGGUCAGGCGUGAAAACAGAUUAAAGAUUUAUGUCUAGCUGAAUGCUGACCCAAAUCCUUACCCUGAUCAAGACAAAACAGCGAAACAUGAAUCCAUAUCUCGUCUUAAUUCGUUCUUCUGCCUUCGUUCACAACGAA